rnacentral:rRNA from 1 species
CUAUAAUGCAGUCGAGCGGACAGAAGGGAGCUUGCUCCCGGAUGUUAGCGGCGGACGGGUGAGUAACACGUGGGUAACCUGCCUGUAAGACUGGGAUAACUCCGGGAAACCGGAGCUAAUACCGGAUAGUUCCUUGAACCGCAUGGUUCAAGGAUGAAAGACGGUUUCGGCUGUCACUUACAGAUGGACCCGCGGCGCAUUAGCUAGUUGGUGAGGUAACGGCUCACCAAGGCGACGAUGCGUAGCCGACCUGAGAGGGUGAUCGGCCACACUGGGACUGAGACACGGCCCAGACUCCUACGGGAGGCAGCAGUAGGGAAUCUUCCGCAAUGGACGAAAGUCUGACGGAGCAACGCCGCGUGAGUGAUGAAGGUUUUCGGAUCGUAAAGCUCUGUUGUUAGGGAAGAACAAGUGCAAGAGUAACUGCUUGCACCUUGACGGUACCUAACCAGAAAGCCACGGCUAACUACGUGCCAGCAGCCGCGGUAAUACGUAGGUGGCAAGCGUUGUCCGGAAUUAUUGGGCGUAAAGGGCUCGCAGGCGGUUUCUUAAGUCUGAUGUGAAAGCCCCCGGCUCAACCGGGGAGGGUCAUUGGAAACUGGGAAACUUGAGUGCAGAAGAGGAGAGUGGAAUUCCACGUGUAGCGGUGAAAUGCGUAGAGAUGUGGAGGAACACCAGUGGCGAAGGCGACUCUCUGGUCUGUAACUGACGCUGAGGAGCGAAAGCGUGGGAGCGAACAGGAUUAGAUACCCUGGUAGUCCACGCCGUAAACGAUGAGUGCUAAGU